AAAGUCGUAACAAGGUAACCGUAGGUGAACCUGCGGUUGGAUCAUUAUUGAUUUACUAUGGUUUAAAGUUGUAGGGUAUUGAUGCCUAGGUGACUAGGCUCCCCAAAGCUUUUUAACCAUUUAACACCAUGUGCACUGUAAUUGUUUUUUGGGCCUAAAGUUUUUUUUAGGUCCUAAGUUUUUAUAAACCCUAUUAAAUUUUGACUGAUUAAACCAAGAUUUUUAUAAAUCAAAUACAACUUUUGACAACGGAUCUCUUGGCUCUC
rnacentral:misc_RNA from 1 species